UUUUAUUUCCUGCAUAUUCGUCUACUGCUUCUAUGUUGUGCCUCCUGUAUCCAAUUUGUAUAAAUCCGUUUACUGUCAUUCGACCAUCUAGUUGGUGGUCGUCCACUGUCGCACAUUCUUGCAAUGUGUCCAAUCCAAUUCCAUUUUAGGAUUGUUACUCUUUCUACUGUGUCAAUUACUCUGGCUCUUCUACGUAGCUCAGUGUUGUGAUCUCUAAGGGCCAGCAUUGGUCUUUCCAUUGCAUUAUAAGUUAGGACAGGCAGAAUACAUUGGUUUAAAACCUUGCUAUUAAGAUAAAUUGGUAAAUUUUACUUUAAUUUGUGCCUUAAGCUUCCAAAUGGACAUAAACGGAUUUCGUGGACUAGAUACUUCAAUGAGGUAGUUUCUUCUACUUAGAUGCCAUCUAUAUAUGUAUACUCUUUCACCGAGUACAAGGCAAGUCAUCUUUAGUACGACCUUAUGGAAAGCAAAGUUUAUCUGUUGUGCAUGAUAUGAUCAAGGCGAUCUGAUAUUAACACUGUGUAAUCUGAAAAUCCCAAAUAUGUUAGGCUUACUCUAGAUUUUCCAAAUUUACAGAUUUCAAGAUAUACUUACUCAGGGUCGUAAACAGUUUUAGCGAAAUAGUAUCCCUCGGGCAAACUCCUAUUUAUGUUGAAUUUAUUUGUUGUCUCCUGCAGUUUUACGUUAUCUGUAAAUAUCGAUUGCUAUAUCGAUGAGUAGUAUAGUAAUCGAAGAGUAGCUUUAACUUCUGUUCCUGGUUUAUAGUGUCAUAGGCUUUUUACAAAAAAUGUCCACGAAUAUUAGGACAAGUAGUUUUUUGUAUUCAAUGGACUUGUCUAUAAGAUUUCUUAGGACUUAUAAAUGAUUGCUUAACAUCCAGCCUGUUCCUUAGCUGUUAAAGGUCCAGUUUUGCUUUUAAUCUAUUCGCGAGGAUUCGAGUAAAUAACUUGUAUAUAUGAGACACCAGACUGACCGGACAGUAAUAUGCAAGAUGGGUUAUAUCACCUUUUUAUGCAAUAGGGUAAUGGUUGCCUUGUUCCAUUGUUGUGAUAUUUUGCCUUGUAUUGGACACUCACUAAACAGAACUAUUAGGUUCUGCAAUAGCUUUUUAUCAUCUAAUUUAAGAGCUUCGAUGACCACUUCAUCUUCUUCACCGGAUUUGUUGUUUUUCAUUUCAAAAAUCACCUUUUGCAUCUCCUGAAUUGUGAUUUUUAGGAUUUUCUGUGAUUUAUGAUUCUUAAUCUUAAGAAUCCAUUUCCAGAAAAUUUUUAUUAGUUGUAUUUUUUAUAAAUUAUUAUUUUUCUGUUCCUUUAUAUGUUAUUUAAAAAAUAUAUUAUCCUGAAUAUCUUGCAAGAAAUAAUCAAUAAUAUUCCUAAUAAAAUGCCUAGACUAGCUAAUUUUAUAUAAGGAAGAGUCUCAAAUACCAAAUGUUGAUUUACUGUUGAAUCAGCUAUUUUAAGUGUUUUUCAUCAACAAUAUUUAAAUAUCACUUUUUUGCAAAAUUUUUAAUCUUAAUUACCUUGAGUAGUUUUUUAUAUUAUGCUACUAAACAAAAUUCAAGAAUCCAUCAAACAAACAAUACAUUUCCUUUUCGUUACCGGUUAUGUAACCUUCUGCAUUUUAUCAGGGGCCAACCAGGAAGCAACUCAUAACCUCCAUUCAUAAUUUCUUUUUUACUUGAUGUUGUCUAGACUGUAUUGAAAUACUGGUUUACAAUGAACAUGGCCGUUGAUCCCUUUAUAUUAAAAAGACCCGAAAUUCAAAAGAGUCUGGGAUGUAUACAACCUUAAUAAGGGCAAUUUUUAGCACACUAUAGCAAAUAUUUACUAACUAAUCCAGAGUAAUAUUUUUGGAUCAUAUUCCCGGAACGUAAUAUUUUAAUAUAUCGAUAUCUGCUGUAUGUGAAAUUAUCUAUUGAUCUUGUUCUGUGUGCUCUUAGAUAACAUGCAAAUACCACUUAUCUACACACCCAUUUUUAUCGAUCAGGAUAUUAUACAACUUGCAAUAUUAAAUUUAAUAACAAUUAAAAACUCUCCACGAGCCAACGAUAAACGCUUAAAGAACUUCCACGAACGUAUACGAUCUUUUAAAUGUGAGUUAAGUGUUAAAACAAAAGAUAAAAGUAUUAUACUCUCGUAAAUUUUAAUGAACUUGGCAAAAGAGGAUCGUCUUUGUUUUCUCGUUUGUUUUUAUGACGGCACGUCAAAGGCAAAAAACGCGAUUGCAGUUGUUUUAAUAUUUUGGAGGUCUCGAUGACGUAUGUAAGCGUUAUAUGGUCAAUUUUUUUUUAGAUGAUCGCGAUAAGUAUGGCCGUUAUUUAUUUAUUGACGUUUCCUGGUUUUUCUUUGCGUGUAUAGUAAAAAUGGGUUUCUUUGUUAAAAGGUACAAUUGGUUUUAUACGGUUUGUUCAUUUUCGAGUUUCUUUUUCUUUUUACUUAUCAAUCAACAAGUUAUUUACUUUAUUUUUGUUAAUUUUUAGUCAAGAGUAUCAUUUCUUGUUAAGAUCUACGAAAUUUUAGUCUGAGAUAAACAACAAAGUAUAAAAAUAGGUUAAAGAUGUCACACAAUAUGUCUUGGACCACUUGUAUUCUUCAUAUUAAGAUCCACAAUGGUCAUUCAUAUCAAUGUAUAUGCUGUAAGAAGUACCGACGUGAUGACGACGCGACGCUAGGUCAUCAUCAUAGAUCGUCGCCCCAAUAUUUAUGCUUUGGGAUACUUAUGUCGGCGGGGCAAUAACUUAUUAUAAGUUAUUUGUUAAUUAAUAGCUAUAGUUUAUUACUAGUGACCUAAGAGUUAUUUUUCUUUAGAAUUUAAGUUAUGGUUACGUUAGUGUUUUUACACUUUUUAGUAUGAUUAUGAUGUUUACUUUUUGGGACGGAACUGAUUUAGAAGGGACUCGCUCUUUGCCUUUCUUUAGGAAAGCAUGUAUUUUUGUUGUUCGUAACGUCGCAGUUUUAUUAUUUUUAAUAUAAUUUUCUAAUUUAA